rnacentral:rRNA from 1 species
CCUACGGGUGGCAGCAGUGAGGAAUAUUGGUCAAUGGACGAAAGUCUGAACCAGCCACGCCGCGUGAAGGAUGACUGUCCUCUGGGUUGUAAACUUUUUUUUUAUGGGAAUAAAAUGUUCCACGUGUGUGUUCAUGUGUGUACCAUAUGUAUAAGGAACGGCUAACUCCGUGCCAGCAGCCGCGGUAAUACGGAGGAUCCGAGCGUUAUCUGGAUUUAUUGGGUUUAAAGGGAGCGUAGGUGGAUUGUUAAGUCAGUUGUGAAAGUUUGCGGCUCAACCGUAGAAGUGCAGUUGAAACUGGCAGACUUGAGUGCAGUAGAGGAAAGCGGAAUUCGUGGUGUAGCGGUGAAAUGCGUAGAUAUCACGAAGAACUCCAAUUGCGAAGGCAGCUUACUAAACUGCCACUGACAUUGAUGCUCGAAAGUGUGGGUAUCAAACAGGAUUAGAUACCCGAGUAGUC